rnacentral:rRNA from 1 species
GACGAACGCUGGCGGCAUGCCUAACACAUGCAAGUCGAGCGAGUAGAUCCCUUCGGGGUGAAGCUAGCGGCGGACGGGUGAGUAACACGUGGGCAACCUGCCUCAUAGAGGGGAAUAGCCUUCCGAAAGGAAGAUUAAUACCGCAUAAGAUUGUAGUACCGCAUGGUAUAGCAAUUAAAGGAGCAAUCCGCUAUGAGAUGGGCCCGCGGCGCAUUAGCUAGUUGGUGAGGUAACGGCUCACCAAGGCGACGAUGCGUAGCCGACCUGAGAGGGUGAUCGGCCACAUUGGGACUGGGACACGGCCCAGACUCCUACGGGAGGCAGCAGUGGGGAAUAUUGCACAAUGGGGGAAACCCUGAUGCAGCAAUGCCGCGUGAGUGAUGACGGCCUUCGGGUUGUAAAGCUCUGUCUUCGGGGACGAUAAUGACGGUACCCGAGGAGGAAGCCACGGCUAACUACGUGCCAGCCGCCGCAGUAA